UAUACACAUGACAACAAUACAAUUAAGGGGGAGGGCACAACAAUAUACAUACACUCACAGGAUUCCAUCAUCUUUCAUUUUUUGAUGACAAUAUACACACACACGUAAGAUGUACAGAGCUUCCUCACCAUUUCGUCUCUCAAUACAUACAAACACCUCAUACACGCACAUACCCCUCAAUUCACCAAUACACAGUUCCCACAGCCCACAUUACACAGAUUACACUCGCAGUAAUUCUCACACACACACACUGAAAAUUGGAGGGAGAUUGAGAGUGAAGAGAGAGAUUGAGAAAGACAGUGAUUGGAAAUCUGAGAGGAGAGAGGAAACAGACGUCGAAUGACACUAUUUCGGCGAGAACCCGCCAAAAAAGGUUGAAAACUCGGCUGAUUCACCAAUUCCCAUCGCUACUAGAGCUCACUGAAGCUCCGGCAAAAUAAUAACAACAAAACAUCCCUCUCCCGUCCCCGUCUUCGGUAAAUUCAUCGGAGAACAAAUUCCAAAUCUACCUGACCAGUCCCAGAUUCGGCGGAAAUUGUCAAAAAAUGAACGAAGCAGUAGUGGGGUGUGCAAAUUCGAGUACGGGUCUUUUGUUAUUUUCUUGAUUUUGAUCUAGGUUGGCGAAAAACAGAGAAAAAGGGUAUAUCGUGGUCGGGUUUAUUAGUGGAGGUUUGAAUUGAGGUUUUUCGGGCGCGCUUCUAUCUUCGAUAUAUCAAAAUCGACAAUUGAGGCUGGAGGACACUAUUAUGAUAAUAUGUUGAUACCUGUCAAGGCCAGAGAAUACUAUUGUGACGAUAUUGAUAUCCGACAAGACCGGAGGACACUGUUGUGAUGAUGUUGAUACCUAGAAAGGCUGAAGAAUACUAUUGAUGAUGUGUUGAUAUUCGGCAAAGUCGGAGGUUGAUUACGAUGAUGAUGGUCCUGAUGAAGAUAGUUAUGAUGAGUUGUGAUACUGGUUGUGUACUUUGCCUUUAUUCCUACAUGUGCAUCGCAUAUCACUAGUAUGCACCUAUAUUUAUCAGCCGGUAUAGGAUGGUUGCAUAUAUAUGAGUGAAGAAUAUUUCUUGUGUUUUUGUAUACUAAUUAAACCUUUUGAGUCUGGGGCGGUGGGGGUACGCAUAGGCUCGGCUAAAUAUUUGGUUGUCCGUAAGUUGAGUGCUAAGGAGAUUGCAUCUGUGAAGGUCCAGAAGAAGAAUCUUCCUAUUGAGGAGGUCACUUUUUGCUGAUUCAAGUAAUUCCUUAGUACUUUCCUUGUCGCUUGUUUGUCAUUAGGGGACAAACGAUUGUUUAAUUAGUAUCUGAUGUAACGACCCUCCCGGUCGUUUGUGA